rnacentral:lncRNA from 9 species
UGGUGUCCCUUGGAGUCUGUUUUCAUCUCAUGUCUUGCCAGCCCUUUGGGCCUCUUAUUUGGAAAUUUCUGUUCUUCAGUGCUGCGCAUUCGUCUUGUCUUAUUACCCUGAUUUCUUUCCAUUCACUUUCCUUCUCUUUCUAGAAUUCAUGUGUUGCGCCUUCUAGAUGGACAAUCUGAUUUUCUUAGGUUUUUCCAUUUCUUUGUGUAAGACAUUCUCAACCGUAUCCUCUAGCCCUUCUAUUGAGUUUUUUACUUCUUUUCUAAGCUUUCUGUUCCCGUUUCAUAAUCUUCUGUUUUUGUUUCGUGGAUGUAGUAACUCCUCUUAUCUGAGGUCGUGAAUGAGUUCUGAAGUUUUCUAAACCCACCCCCCCACCCCACCCCCGCCGGAAGUCACUGCUUGCUUCAGGUUGCUUUUUGUUUUUUGGGGUUUUGGUUUUCCUAACAGAGCCUUUUCUGGGCUUACCUGGUGACAUUUUCUUGUCUCUUUAUGCGUUAGAGGGACUCAGCUUGUGAUUGGGGGCUUGCCAACUGUGUCAUUUGCUGCGGAGGCCUCUGGCUGGGCCCUCUCCUUACAGCACCCCGACAGCUUCUUCAGGCCUCUAUUUAUUUAUCUUUUGGUCACACCCAUGGCAUGCAGAAGUUCCUGGGCCAGGGAUCGAACCCCCGCCACAGCAGCAGCCUGAGACACUGCAGUGACAAUGCCAGAUCCUUAACCCACUCUGCCAUGUGGGAACAUCUCUUCAAAUCUCUUUAGAUUCUCCAGAAAAAUAUCUCCCACCCUCUUGCCUGGCUGCCUGUGUCCGGGGCCAAGUGAAGGGAGAAGGCUACAGUCUUUUUUUCUUUUUAGGGCCAUACCUGAGGCAUUUGGAGGUUCCCAGCCUAGGGGUUGAAUCGAAGAUGCAGCUGCCGGCCUACACCACAGCCACAGCAACUCGGGAUCCUUAACCCACUGAGCAAGGCCAGGGAUUGAACCUGCAUCCUCAUGGAUGCCGGUCAGAUUCGUUUACCCCUAGCCUGGGAACCUCCAUAUGCCACGGGUGCGGCCCUAGAAAAGGCAAAAAGACAAAAAAGAGAGAGAGAGAAGUGAUAUCCGCACGUGGGACAGCCUGGCGUGGGUGCUGUUCGGGUGGAAGGUCGGCAGGCAGGAGCCUGUUGGGGGUCCUCUCAGCAAGGAGAGCCAGGUGGACGCCUGGGUCCUGGCUUCACUGUAGGUGCGUUGACCUGCAGCGCUUCCACCCAUCGCUAGACUGGCCAGGAGUGGACUGACCCGACAGCUGGGACCCCGCCACGCACUCGCCUUUCACGCCCCAUCAAAACCACGUGUGGAUGUGCUACUCUGAUCAUUUGAUUUAAUGGACGGGAUUUCUCUCUUUGGACCAUUAAAAGCUGCAGAUUAGUAUUUGUUGGAGACAGAUUCUUAAGUAAAAGAGCCUCGCUCAGUUUGUCGUCUCCAGUGCGUUGGCCUGCUUGGUGGGACUGGGCCUCAGCGAGGCUCUAGCCUCUGGCUCUGGUACGUCCCCCCUGGGACUGAGCCCCUUGCGUGUAGAGGGUUUUGUGUUUUAAAUCCUGAAACAUCACUGGUCUGUGUCCCCAGCUGAGACGCUGAGACCCUUCAAAUCCAGGGUCGGGUUUAAAACCGUGACUCUGUGAUUGCCAUACACAGGCUUCCUGGCUCCGGAACCAUGUGUGUCUUAGGGGCAAGAAUUUGGGGUGUUUUUCCCCGGUCAGGUGAGUCGAUCUUGCUAGUGCUGGCUCUCCUGAUCUUGACCUUGCCUCACCCGGCCGCGGUGUCCGCCUUAUCGAGCACAGGCGGCGUUUUGCAUCAAAGGGCAGGUACCCUCCCUGGCAGCUUCACUAGGCAAAGUGACCCACACCCUCUUUCUUGACAGGGAGUUCUUGAUCCUCCCGGGAUGACCUUUGAAGGUUCUUUCCAACCCUGCUAUUUUAUGGCCUGGUUUCUAAAUCCCCAGUGGAUUAGAGGGACGGAAGGACUUUUAUAGGAUAACAGCCAGAAGAACAAAGUGACUGCAAAAUACACGGAGAACUCGGUCACCCUAGAGAGCUCUGAAGCCCCCAGGCCCACGUUCUUUCUCACACCACACACGGUACUGCAGGCCCCUUUUCCUCCUGGCUCAGCGGAGAUUAGCAAGAGGAGCGAGGGGGAGAUUACUCCCCACGCGAGAGUUUUACUUCACAUGGUUACUUGGGAAAGUCUCGGCACUUGAGGGCUCAUUCCCUCGGGCCCCUGGAGAAGUGAGACGCUCUCAGUGGUCUAGGGUUUACUGCAGUGCGUUUUGCUGAAACGAAUGGCCUGAUGGAAGGGCUUCUUGCGCCGUCUUUCCCUUGAGGAAUUUGCCGAAGUCCUGGUAUUCGUAACUGAAGCGUGAGCAGUAGUAGUUUCACCUUAUCUGGGUGCGAGGCGAAAGGAUCUGGGUUGUGGGACGCAGAUGAGUGAUUUUUCUCUGGUUUUCUCCUUGUUCCCUCUCGCUUCCUGUCCCACCCCAGCAAAAGCUGGCAGGCUGACAGAGGCGGCCUCAGGACGGACCUUCUGGCUAUUGACCAUUUUGUCAGGCCGGGAGGGCUUCAGUGGGGCCCUGGGGUGGGACUGCGUCUCCGGGGCCCUGGGCAUCCCGGUACUCUCCGCUGGAGCCUUUGUCUCCUUGGCGACGGCAGCUUUUCAGGGGCAGCUGUCCAGGGAUUUCUCCUCUUCACCACUCGGUGAGAGUUUGGGAAGCCCCUUGGGUCUGAAGGUGCAAGGGAGGGAAUGAGGUGGCACCUGCUGGUGGAGCAGGGUGGACGCUUGGCUGAAGCUCUCACCCGCGCCCGCCCUGGCAGCGCCGGCCGCCUGUGUGCCAUCUCCCUCUCCGCCUCCUCCCUCCGCUGCAGUGGCUCACCCGGACCGUGUGGAGGCGCGAGAUCAACCAUGAGCUCCGUUGCAGUUUUGACCCAAGAGAGCUUUGCUGAGCACCGCAGUGGACUCAUUCCGCAGCAGAUAAGAGUUGCCACUUUAAAUUCAGAAGAGGAGAGCGACCCUCCAACCUACAAGGAUGCCUUCCCCCCGCUCCCCGAGAAAGCAGCUUGCUUGGAAAACCCCCAGGAACCUGCCGGCGCCUGGAGCAACAAAAUCCGGCCCAUCAAGGCGUCCGUCAUCACUCAGGUGUUCCACGUACCCCUGGAGGAGAGGAAGUACAAGGACAUGAACCAGUUUGGAGAAGGUGAACAAGCCAAAAUCUGCCUCGAGAUCAUGCAGAGGACCGGCGCUCACCUGGAGCUGUCCCUCGCCAAAGACCAGGGCCUCUCCAUCAUGGUUUCUGGGAAGCUGGACGCCGUCAUGAAGGCCCGGAAGGACAUUGUCGCUCGGCUGCAGACUCAGGCCUCCGCCACCGUUGCCAUCCCCAAAGAGCACCAUCGCUUUGUCAUCGGCAAAAACGGAGAGAAACUGCAGGACUUGGAGCUCAAAACCGCAACCAAAAUCCAGAUCCCACGCCCCGACGACGCCAGCAAUCAGAUCAGGAUCACCGGCACCAAAGAGGGCAUCGAGAAGGCUCGCCACGAGGUCCUGCUCAUCUCCGCGGAGCAGGACAAACGUGCGGUGGAGCGGCUCGAGGUGGAGAAGGCCUUCCACCCCUUCAUCGCGGGGCCCUACAACCGGCUGGUCAGCGAGAUCAUGCAGGAGACGGGCACGCGCAUCAACAUCCCGCCGCCCAGCGUCAACCGCACCGAGAUCGUCUUCACGGGCGAGAAGGAGCAGCUGGCGCAGGCCGUGGCUCGCAUCCGCAAGAUCUACGAGGAGAAGAAAAAGAAGACCACCACCAUCGCGGUCGAGGUGAAGAAGUCCCAGCACAAGUACGUCAUUGGCCCCAAGGGCAACUCCUUGCAAGAGAUUCUGGAAAGAACCGGCGUUUCUGUGGAGAUCCCGCCUUCAGACAGCGCCUCUGAGACUGUGAUCCUUCGAGGCGAGCCCGAGAAGCUGGGGCAGGCGUUGACGGAGGUCUAUGCCAAGGCCAACAGCUUCACGGUCUCCUCCGUCUCGGCUCCUUCCUGGCUGCACCGUUUCAUCAUUGGCAAGAAGGGUCAGAACCUGGCCAAAAUCACCCAGCAGAUGCCCAAGGUUCACGUUGAGUUCACGGAAGGCGAGGACAGGAUCACCCUGGAAGGCCCCACGGAGGACGUCAGCGCGGCCCAGGAGCAGAUCGAAGCCAUGGUCAAGGACUUGGUGAGCCGGAUGGACUACGUGGAGAUCAGCAUCGACCACAAGUUCCACAGACACCUCAUCGGGAAGAGCGGGGCCAACAUAAACAGGAUCAAGGACCAGUACAAGGUGUCGGUGCGCAUACCCCCCGACAGCGAGAGGAGCAGCCUGAUCCGCAUCGAGGGCGACCCGCAGGGCGUGCAGCAGGCCAAGCGCGAGCUGCUGGAGCUCGCCUCCCGCAUGGAGAACGAGCGCACCAAGGAUCUGAUCAUCGAGCAGAGGUUCCAUCGCACCAUCAUCGGGCAGAAGGGGGAGCGGAUCCGAGAGAUUCGGGACAAAUUCCCGGAGGUUAUCAUCAACUUUCCAGACCCAGCCCAGAAAAGCGAUAUUGUUCAACUCAGGGGGCCCAAGAACGAGGUGGAAAAAUGCACGAAAUACAUGCAGAAGAUGGUGGCAGAUCUGGUGGAAAACAGCUAUUCGAUUUCUGUUCCGAUCUUCAAGCAGUUUCACAAGAACAUCAUCGGGAAAGGAGGGGCCAACAUUAAGAAGAUUCGAGAAGAGAGCAACACCAAGAUCGACCUCCCCGCCGAGAACAGCAACUCAGAGACCAUUGUCAUCACAGGCAAGCGAGCCAACUGCGAGGCUGCCCGGAGCCGCAUUCUGUCCAUCCAGAAAGACCUGGCCAACAUCGCCGAGGUGGAGGUCGCCAUCCCUGCCCGGCUGCACAACGCCCUCAUCGGCACCAAGGGCCGGCUCAUCCGCUCCAUCAUGGAGGAGUGCGGCGGCGUCCACAUCCACUUCCCCGUGGAAGGCUCCGGGAGCGACACCGUGGUCAUCAGGGGCCCUUCCUCCGACGUGGAGAAGGCCCGCAAGCAGCUCCUGCACCUGGCGGAGGAGAAGCAAACCAAGAGCUUCACCGUCGACAUCCGAGCCAAGCCGGAAUACCACAAGUUCCUCAUCGGCAAAGGGGGCGGCAAAAUCCGCAAGGUGCGUGACAGCACCGGGGCCCGCAUCAUCUUCCCCGCCGCCGAGGACAAGGACCAGGACCUGAUCACCAUCAUAGGCAGGGAGGACGCCGUCCGGGAGGCCCAGCGGGAGCUGGAGGCCCUGAUCCAGAACCUGGACAACGUGGUUGAGGACUUCAUGCUGGUGGACCCCAGGCACCACCGUCACUUUGUCAUCCGACGAGGCCAGGUCCUGCGGGAGAUCGCGGAGGAGUACGGCGGGGUGAUGGUUAGCUUCCCCCGCUCCGGCACGCAGAGCGACAGAGUCACCCUGAAGGGGGCCAAGGACUGCGUGGAGGCGGCCAAGAAGCGCAUUCAGGAGAUCAUCGAGGACCUGGAAGCCCAGGUGACCAUAGAGUGCGCCAUUCCCCAGAAGUUCCAUCGCUCGGUCAUGGGCCCCAAAGGUUCCAGAAUCCAGCAGAUAACUCGCGACCAUAACGUUCAGAUUAAAUUCCCAGACAGAGAGGAGAACCCAGCGCACGGCACGGAGCCAGCUGUCCAGGAGAACGGCGACGACCCCGGGGAGGGGAGAGACGGGAAGGAGGCCGAGCCCGGCUCCCCCAGGAGAUGCGACAUCAUCACCAUCUCCGGCCGGAAGGAGAAGUGCGAGGCCGCCAAGGAGGCCCUUGAGGCCCUGGUUCCCGUCACCAUUGAGGUGGAGGUGCCCCUUGACCUUCACCGGUACAUCAUCGGCCAGAAGGGGAGCGGGAUCCGCAGGAUGAUGGACGAGUUUGAGGUGAAUAUUCACGUCCCGGCCCCCGAGCUGCAGUCAGGCGUCAUCGCCAUCACGGGCCUGGCUGCCAACCUGGACCGGGCCAAGGCUGGGCUGCUGGAGCGGGUGAAGGAGCUGCAGGCGGAGCAGGAAGACCGGGCUUUGCGGAGCUUCAAGCUGAGCGUCACCGUUGACCCCAAGUACCACCCCAAGAUCAUCGGGCGGAAGGGGGCGGUGAUCACCCAGAUCCGCCUGGAGCACGACGUCAACAUCCAGUUUCCUGAUAAGGACGAUGGGAGCCAGCCGCAGGACCACAUCACCAUCACGGGCUACGAGAAGAACACCGAGGCCGCCCGGGACGCCAUCCUCAAGAUCGUGGGGGAGCUCGAGCAGAUGGUUUCUGAGGACGUGCCGCUCGACCACCGCGUCCACGCCCGCAUCAUCGGUGCCCGCGGCAAAGCCAUCCGCAAGAUCAUGGAUGAGUUCAAGGUGGACAUUCGCUUCCCGCAGAGCGGGGCCCCCGACCCCAACUGCGUCACCGUGACGGGGCUGCCGGAGAACGUGGAGGAAGCCAUCGACCACAUCCUCAACCUGGAGGAGGAAUACCUGGCCGACGUGGUGGACACCGAGGCGCUGCAGCUGUACAUGAAGCCCCCGGCCCACGAGGAGGCCAAGGCGCCGUCCAGGGGCUUCGUGGUGCGGGACGCCCCCUGGACCGCCAGCAGCAGCGAGAAGGCUCCCGACAUGAGCAGCUCGGAGGAGUUCCCCAGCUUCGGGGCUCAGGUGGCCCCCAAGACCCUCCCCUGGGGCCCCAAGCGAUAAUGCUCGACAAGCAGAAACCUCUCCAGCCUGCUGACCUGAACCCGCCACACGAUGGUCCGUCUCAAUCCGACCCAGCGGCUGGACCCUCCGCAAAUUCUUGACGCCCCUUCCCCGAGGUCUCACAGCGAAGCCGGCGUGGCCCGCGCCCUGGCGGCCGGGUCUCAGGCCUGGCCGCCCCCGGCACAGGCUCUGCUCCCGACCUCUGUGCUGGGGCGGCGGCCGCACGAGCCCCGCGGAGGCCCGCGUCAUCCACCCGGCCUGCCCCGGCUCCGGCCUCCCCGGGAGAGCGCUGCAGCUGCGGCCGCGUCCACUUCCUGUGUCACGACCUCAGGAAAUAAAUGUCCUUGACUUUCUAAAAGCCAAAA